ACGCUGGCGGGAGGCCUAACACAUGCAAGCCGAGCGGUGGAGAUUCUUCGGAAUCUUGAGAGCGGCGUACGGGUGCGGAACACGUGUGCAACCUGCCUUUAUCAGGGAGAUAGCCUUUCGAAAGGAAGAUUAAUAUCCCAUAAUAUUUUGAGUGGCAUCACUUAAAAUUGAAAGCUCCGGCGGAUAGAGAUGGGCACGCGCAAGAUUAGAUAGUUGGCGGGGUAACGGCCCACCAAGUCAAUGAUCUUUAGGGGGCCUGAGAGGGUGAUCCCCCACACUGGUACUGAGACACGGACCAGACUCCUACGGGAGGCAGCAGUGAGGAAUAUUGGACAAUGGGUGAGAGCCUGAUCCAGCCAUCCCGCGUGAAGGACGACGGCCCUAUGGGUUGUAAACUUCUUUUGUAUAGGGAUAAACCUACCCUCGUGAGGGUAGCUGAAGGUACUAUACGAAUAAGCACCGGCUAACUACGUGCCAGCAGCCGCGGUAAUACGUAGGGUGCAAGCGUUGUCCGGAAUUACUGGGCGUAAAGAGUUCGUAGGCGGUUUGUCGCGUCGUUUGUGAAAACCAGCAGCUCAACUGCUGGCUUGCAGGCGAUACGGGCAGACUUGAGUACUGCAGGGGAGACUGGAAUUCCUGGUGUAGCGGUGAAAUGCGCAGAUAUCAGGAGGAACACCGGUGGCGAAGGCGGGUCUCUGGGCAGUAACUGACGCUGAGGAACGAAAGCGUGGGUAGCGAAC
rnacentral:rRNA from 1 species